UACGGGGGGGCAAGCGUUGUUCGGAAUUACUGGGCGUAAAGGGCUCGUAGGUGGCCAACUAAGUCAGACGUGAAAUCCCUCAGCUUAACUGGGGAACUGCGUCUGAUACUGGAUGGCUGGAGUUUGGGAGAGGAAUGCGGAAUUCCAGGUGUAGCGGUGAAAUGCGUAGAUAUCUGGAGGAACACCGGUGGCGAAGGCGGCAUUCUGGACCAAUACUGACGCUGAGGAGCGAAAGCCAGGGGAGCAAACGGG
rnacentral:rRNA from 1 species